CUCUUAGAAGCCCAAGCACAGAGUUCAGAGAAAUGUGAGCACCUGUAUGAAGAGAAGAUGGGUACAAAGGAAUGAGUGGGGGUUCCUCUUCACCAUCCCUAAAACUGUGGCAGUAUUUAGCAGCAUCAUUGAUGAGGCUGGUCUCAGAACUGUGCAAACAUCUGCCCUGCCUGGCCUCUCAAUGAAAAACUUCUACCUCUUAACAGGUAUUUCCACCAACUCGCUGGCCACCUCCCUGUUACAGUGUAAGUCGUACUUCUUUGUCCUUUUCUGGAAAUCACGAAUGUGAAUGUCAUUUGCAGCAUGCAUUCGUGUAGUGGAUGGAAGUUCUCCACGGACCAGGCUUUCUUCAAGGCAAUGGGGAGCCACGGAAAUCUUUGAAGCAGAGGAGUGUCCUAUUCAGAACUCUUCUAUGAAAUGAUUAUUGUGCAGCAGGGUGGAAGCUGGAUUAACAGGAGAAACACUGGAGGCAAGGAAAUUCAAUUUAAAGUCUACUGCAAGAGCGCCUUGACACCAACAUGACCCUGACCGACAUUUUCCUUUUUCGUCAUGGCUGUACUUUUCCAUUUAAAUAAGAUGCAAGCCCAUUUCCAUGGGGAUUCCAGGAAGUCUGGAAGGGAGUGAUAAAUGGGAAUGUCAUCUUUGUAUCACAUCACCCCGAAGGACUUUGCUGUGACAGUUGUAAUGUGGUGCCCGGAAGGGUGAAGGAACCACAUAAAGUGCCCAGAGCAGAUGGCUGAUGGCCGGCUCCUCACUGGUGCAUGCCCAGUCUCCCCAGCCCCCAAGUCCCUCACCCCUAGCUGGAUUCCUGUCCUACCACAGGAGACUUGGAGCUUCC